rnacentral:rRNA from 1 species
UACGAAGGGGGCUAGCGUUGCUCGGAAUUACUGGGCGUAAAGCGCACGUAGGCGGCUUUCUAAGUCGGGGGUGAAAUCCUGGAGCUCAACUCCAGAACUGCCUUCGAUACUGGAGAGCUUGAGUCCGGGAGAGGUGAGUGGAACUGCGAGUGUAGAGGUGAAAUUCGUAGAUAUUCGGAAGAACACCAGUGGCGAAGGCGGCUGACUGGACAGUGUAU